CAGGAGUGAUCUUAGUGUCUUAUUUAGUUGGAUGAUAAGAGAAACUAGGAAUUUAUUAUUCAUAAAAAUGAAAUAUAAAAUCUCCCUUUUCUUCAAGGUUCGGAGAUAGCUAGGCUCAACACAAAUGUCUAGAGAGAAUGCAUCUGUUGCUAUUGCAGUUUUUUUUUGUUUCUCUGAAAACUUGGCAUUGGUAAAAUAUCUAUGAUUUUGAUUCAGGUUGGCCAGAGCCCAGAUUACCAAGGAAUUACAUUUUGAACAUAUUCAACUAAGAAUUAUCUUUGUAGCAACUUUUCCUUUGCCAUAUUGAAAUUUUGGGAAUAAAAUCAGAUUUUGUUUCAAAAACUAGCUGUGUUUCUUCCUUGUGCCAGGAUGAAGUUUUUUUCUAUGUUAAGCAGGCAUAAAGAAAAGCUUGUAGUCUAUCUAAAAACAUUUUAAGCAUAUUAUGGAGGAAGAACCCCAUUAUACAUUUGACAGAACUGGGUUCAAAUGUUUGCUCUGCCUCUUAUAAUUUAUAUUAAUUUUGGACAUAUUCUAAUGUGAUGCUGGGAUUGAAUUUACCUAGAACUCUAUUUCAAGACUGACUCUAAAGUCUUUUGGACGAUCUGGAAGAAAUUUGUAAGUGCUCUUUUGGUAGUGAUUAUCUUAAGCUCACUGUGCCUAUUUUUGUUUUUAUAAUGUUUACUUUAUUCUUUAACUUUCUGAUUAAUUAUGUAAUUAAUUAGGUAAAUUAUAAAAACUUUGCAGUAACUACAGAGACAAGUGAGGUAUGGCAGAAGGAAUGUUUAUCAGUGUUUCUCUUGUUGGGCUUCCCAUUUUGUUCCUUGCUCUUCACUCUUUUACUGUUAAACUUGGUCUCAUUUUUUAAAAAGUAGCAUGAAUUGGGCUGGGGAUUUAGCUCAGUAGUUCCACUGCCUGCCUUGCAAGCCCAAGGACCUGAGUUCGAUUCCCGGUACCAAAAAAAAAAAAAAAGUAGCAUGAAUGUGUCAGAAAUACUGGUUUUGAAAUAAUUGAAAAAAAUGACUAAGGAAAACACUUGUUACCAUUAAGAUGGUCUCUUAUAAGCUGUACUUUUAAGUAUUCCUUUUAA
rnacentral:lncRNA from 1 species